rnacentral:snRNA from 1 species
GUGCUCGCUUCAGCAGCAUGUAUACUAAAAUUGGAACAAAAUGGCCCCUGCACAAGGACGACAUGCAAAUUUGUGACUUUUUUUAUUUUUAU